UGGGGAAUUUUGGACAAUGGGCGAAAGCCUGAUCCAGCAAUGCCGCGUGUGUGAAGAAGGCCUUCGGGUUGUAAAGCACUUUUGUCCGGAAAGAAAUCCUUGGCUCUAAUACAGUCGGGGGAUGACGGUACCGGAAGAAUAAGCACCGGCUAACUACGUGCCGGCAGCCGCGGUAAUACGUAGGGUGCAAGCGUUAAUCGGAAUUACUGGGCGUAAAGCGUGCGCAGGCGGUUUGCUAAGACCGAUGUGAAAUCCCCGGGCUCAACCUGGGAACUGCAUUGGUGACUGGCAGGCUAGAGUAUGGCAGAGGGGGGUAGAAUUCCACGUGUAGCAGUGAAAUGCGUAGAGAUGUGGAGGAAUACCGAUGGCGAAGGCAGCCCCCUGGGCAAGUACUGACGCUCAUGCACGAAAAGCGUGGGGGAGCAAACNGGAUUAAUACCCUGGUAGUCCACGCCCUAAAACGAUGUCAACUAGUUGUUGGGGAUUCAUUUCCUUAGUAACGUAGCUAACGCGUGAAGUUGACCGCCUGGGGGAGUACGGUCGCAAGA
rnacentral:rRNA from 1 species